AGCAUUGGCUUGAGGAUAUGGAAAGGGGGUGUAGGAUGUAUCCAACUGGCAGGAUGCAUGUUCAUGCAUCCUGCCAAGACUUCCCAAGAAUGCAAGGAUGGGCCGCCAAUUUGACACCCUCCAUCAGUGUACACUGAUGUAUAUGCAGUGCAGCCCACUAGAUAUUCAUGGUGAUUGAUAGGGGAUUUAAUUAUUGGCUACAUCGAUGUAGCCAUCGAUGUAGCCAUAGAUAUCUAUGAAUUCAUGAAAACUAUCAACAUGCAUAUGUGUCUGGGUCUAGACCUUAGAUCUAAUAAUGCGAGUUCGAACUCGCUAAUCCAUCUAACAGGUCUAAACCUGUUAGAUCUCGCAUUAUUAGUUAUGUCCUAUAGCCUUCAUGGCUUGCUGUACGGUUGCGUUCGGGGUGUCGGAUAGGACAGGGCGAGGCAAACCGGGGCUGCCAAGGGCCUUACACUACUGCAGAGUACUAAUUGCUGCUCUCGGAGCGCCAGGGCGCGUGUGCGCCGAAGCGCGGUCUAGCGCCACACGGCGCGGUCUGAGCGCGCGCAGCGCUGUCCAGCGCGGCCACACCGGCACGGCCGAAAGAACUGACGCACAGCACUAGACAACUAAACGCAGCAUUAAUGACUGCGUCCACUGGUCACCCGCCCCGAGGGCAAACCUGAAGCGUCAGCGACGCACGAACCACACCCUGGCCAGCGGGGCUGGCCAGGCGACAUUCCUAGCGCGCGACGAUACUCUAUAGGCACUUAUUUGCCGUGCGGUAAUCGCUGUACAGCUGCACGUCCGGCGCUCCGAGGGGACUGCCUAAUCACCGGUCUCCAACUGGGCCGAGCCUGCCGCUUAUAAACGAGGGACACUGAGGGCGGGGGGGGGGAAGUGAGAGCAACAAUAAUAAUAAGCUCCAAUAGUGUAGGCAGAAUGCCGGAACUAUGGAGCUGUCAGCUGAAAUAGUAAAUUCGAAUUCUCAGCAAGCCAUACGGCUGCCGUACAUAACCUAGCUUAGAGGCUAUACUCGCUUUGCUCCUGCCGCAUCUAAGCUACAAUUAUGUCCUAUAGCCUUCAUGGCUUGCUGUACGGUGCGUUCGGGGUGNNNNNNNNNNNNNNNNNNNNNNNNNNNNNNNNNNNNNNNNNNNNNNNNNNAGGGCGCAAUUUGACACCCUCCAUCAGUGUACACUGAUGUAUAUGCAGUGCAGCCCACUAGAUAUUCAUGGUGAUUGAUAGGGGAUUUAAUUAUUGGCUACAUCGAUGUAGCCAUCGAUGUAGCCAUAGAUAUCUAUGAAUUCAUGAAAACUAUCAACAUGCAUAUGUGUCUGGGUCUAGACCUUAGAUCUAAUAAUGCGAGUUCGAACUCGCUAAUCCAUCUAACAGGUCUAAACCUGUUAGAUCUCGCAUUAUUAGAUCUAAGGUCUAGACCCAGACACAUGUUGAUAGUUUUCAUGAAAUUUCAUGGUAUGUUCACUGUUUCACAAUCACUGUGAUAUAUU
rnacentral:lncRNA from 1 species